ACGAACGCUGGCGGCGUGCUUAACACAUGCAAGUCGAACGGAGAUUAUUAAUGAAGCUUGCGAUUUAAUAAUCUUAGUGGCGGACGGGUGAGUAACGCGUGGGCAACCUACCCAUAAGCGGGGGAUAACAGUUGGAAACGACUGCUAAUACCGCAUAAGCUAUUGAGGUCGCAUGACCUAAAUAGUAAAGGUGGCGAAAGCUAUCACUUAUGGAUGGGCCCGCGUCUGAUUAGCUAGUUGGUGGGAUAGCAGCCUACCAAGGCAACGAUCAGUAGCCGGCCUGAGAGGGUGGACGGCCACACUGGGACUGAGACACGGCCCAGACUCCUACGGGAGGCAGCAGGUGGGGAAUAUUGCGCAAGUGGGGGAAACCCUGACGCAGCGACGCCGCGUGAGCGAAGAAGGCCUUAGGGUCGUAAAGCUCUGUUGUAAGGGACGAAUGUUUAUCUGGCGAACAGUCAGAUAAAGUGACGGUACCUUACCAGCAAGCCCCGGCUAACUACGUG
rnacentral:rRNA from 1 species